UAAAAGUAUCUGGUGUCUUCAAAG
rnacentral:piRNA from 1 species